rnacentral:rRNA from 1 species
CCUACGGGAGGCAGCAGUGAGGAAUAUUGGUCAAUGGACGGAAGUCUGAACCAGCCAUGCCGCGUGCAGGAAGACGGCUCUAUGAGUUGUAAACUGCUUUUGUACAAGGGUAAACCUGAAUACGUGUAUUCAGCUGAAAGUACUGUACGAAUAAGGAUCGGCUAACUCCGUGCCAGCAGCCGCGGUAAUACGGAGGAUCCAAUCGUUAUCCGGAUUUAUUGGGUUUAAAGGGUGCGUAGGCGGAUUGAUAAGUUAGAGGUUAAAUGUCCGAGCUUAACUCGGGAACUGCCUCUAAUACUGUUGAUCUAGAGAGUAGGUGCGGUAGGCGGAAUGUAUGGUGUAGCGGUGAAAUGCUUAGAGAUCAUACAGAACACCGAUUGCGAAGGCAGCUUACCAAUCUAUAUCUGACGUUGAGGCACGAAAGCGUGGGGAGCAAACAGGAUUAGAUACCCCGGUAGUC